rnacentral:rRNA from 1 species
UGCCAGCAGCCGCGGUAAUACGUAGGUGGCGAGCGUUAUUCGGAGUUAUUGGGCGUAAAGGGUCCGUAGGGGGUCUGUUAAGUUUGAUGUGAAAUACUGAGGCUCAACCUCAGAACUGCAUUGGAUACUGGCAGACUAGAGCAUAUGAGAGGAAAGUGGAAUUCCAGGUGUAGCGGUGGAAUGCGUAGAUAUCUGGAGGAACACCAAUUGCGAAGGCAGCUUUCUGGAAUAUUGCUGACCCUGAGGGACGAAAGCUAGGAUAGCGAACAGGAUUAGAUA